CAGAAGCCUAAUCAUGUUACCUCCUAAUUAUGUUACCUAAAGGUCCCAUUUCAUUAUCUCAUAAUUGGGAUUAAAUUUUAUGAAUUUUGGAGACAAACCAUAUUCAAACCAUGGCAGAGUUUCCAUUAAUUUACAAAGUGAUUCCAGCCUAAAAACUUUGAUUUUUAAGAAAUACUUGAGGGCUACUAUGAUAAAUGUAGUUAAGUGAAGUUAAAAAUUUUUCUAAACUUUCAUUCAUGCCAACAUUACAGUAGGUACUGGGCACACAAAGCUAAAUAAUAUGGGAUCUUUGUCCUCAAAUAACUGACACACUAUCAUUAUAAUGCUGAGUACAAAGCACAGAAUGCAAAGGAAACAUGGGCUGUGUUGCUGAAACCAAAAGAGGUAUUGAGAGGCUUUCUGGAGGCAAUACUUCAGCUCUUUUUUUAAAAUAAAGAGGCAAAAAAACAUGGCAUUCCCAGUAAAGCAACCAGUACAUGAGAAGACAGCAUGAAACAGUACUAUACACAGUAAAACCUUGGAUUGCAAUUUGUUCGGAGUGUUCCACAAGAUGAGCAAAUAUUUCUAAUACAUUUUAACUUGAUAAAUGAGCAAUGCUUUGCAAUGAGUAGUACAUGAUGCUGAAUAUCACACCAUCACAACUGAGCCAAUGGUUCUCUCUCUGCGCGACUGUGGGUAAUCAUUUCCCAACAGCAAGAGGUUAUGGAGAUCUCAUCUGCAGGAGAGGACAAAAAGGUGGAAGAAUCUUUCACUUCAGAGAUUAGGGUGGGAAACAGUGCAAAAUUUUGUAGAAAACCACCACCCAAAUAAGGCGGUAGCAUUGCAAGCAAUGAAUCUGCUUUAAUGACACUGCAAUGUCACAUUUCCACAAAAUCCUCAGAAGGAAGGAAAAGAAAGUAUCAUUAGAUAGGUUCCUCAUUAAAGUUGCACGAAAAGAAAAAGAUUCCAUUGAGCCAACAGAUAGCAGUGAUUCCAUUAGUGAUAGUGAAAGUUGUCCUAUACAAUAACCCUCUUCUGUCUCCCUCACAGCCGCCACGGUUUUCAAAGUGCAAGUUUUUCUUUAUAUUUUAUUAUUUUGUAUUAUUACUGCAUUGUAAUCAUUUUUAUAUGAAUAUUUUGUGGAAUCAUCUGAAUUUCCAUUGUUUCUUUUGGGAAAAUUUGCUUUGAUAUGUAAGUGCUUUGGAAUACAAGCAUGUUUCUGGAAUGAAUUAUGCUUGAAAAUCAAGGUUUUACUAUAUUUGAUAUGACAGAUGUAAGGGUAAACAAAAACACGAGGGAGAAAAAUUAAGGUAUUCUGAGUCAUUCCUAUCUUACUAAAAAUUGGUCAGAGGAACAGCUGUUUACCAAUUCAAAUUUUCAGUACAUUUUCUUAGACCUGUUUAAAAUAACACAAAUUAUACCACCUAUAGUAGUCCAAAUAAUACAUUAACAAAGUUCUGAUAUUCUGUGAAUAAGCCAUUCACCUCAUUACCAGGCCUACAGGUUUCUCUAGGUUUCUGUAGAAAUGACUAUGAUUAGCCAGGAUGACUAACAGUUCCUCAGAUUCAUAUAACAGUUUUUUU
rnacentral:lncRNA from 1 species